UACGUAGGUGGCAAGCGUUGUCCGGAUUUAUUGGGCGUAAAGCGCGCGCAGGCGGUUUCUUAAGUCUGAUGUGAAAGCCCUCAGCUUAACCGAGGAGGGUCAUUGGAAACUGGGAGACUUGAGUGUAGAAGAGGAAAGUGGAAUUCCAAGUGUAGCGGUGAAAUGCGUAGAGAUUUGGAGGAACACCAGUGGCGAAGGCGACUUUCUGGUCUGUAACUGACGCUGAGGCGCGAAAGCGUGGGGAGCAAACAGG
rnacentral:rRNA from 1 species